rnacentral:misc_RNA from 1 species
UUGGUUUUUCCAUCGCGUAGGUACUGGUGAGCAGGACCAAUCCAAACAAUGAGUAGAGCAGGUGUGCAGUAACGGGACAUGGCACUUCAGCAGUCCAUUUUUUUGGUAGGGCCCAUGUGUAUUUAGCUUUUGUAUUUUGAUCAUUCUACAUAAAUGGGAUGUAAUUUAUUUUGGGAUUGUAAAUAAAUUGUAAAUUGUUGUAUAUGAAUUUUAUUAUUGUAUAUGAAUUUUAUAUGAAUGGAAUGAAAAAUAUUUACUUGAAAUUUAUAUGAGCCAUGAUGAUUUGAUAUGAUAUGGAAAAGAAUGAGAUGGAUAGUAUGACAUAUGAUAUGAGAUUUUUAACAAGUAAAUAAUAGCACCCAUCAAACGCUAAUAUAACAGAGGAGAUUCUGUCUAAGUCUUCACAAAA